UAACUGAAGAGUUUGAUCAUGGCUCAGAUUGAACGCUGGCGGCAGGCUUAACACAUGCAAGUCGAGCGGGGGAAGGUAGCUUGCUACUGGACCUAGCGGCGGACGGGUGAGUAAUGCUUAGGAAUCUGCCUAUUAGUGGGGGACAACAUCUCGAAAGGGAUGCUAAUACCGCAUACGUCCUACGGGAGAAAGCAGGGGA
rnacentral:rRNA from 1 species